rnacentral:lncRNA from 1 species
CUUCUGAACUUAUUCUAAUUAAGUACCUUCACCACAAAUGAUCUUUUCUUCAUACCUUAGGUGCCGAACUUUACGAAUGAAUCUUCGUUCUUCAAUUUGAAUCUUUUCUUCAAAAACUUCCGCGAUCAACUCUUCAAAACUCCAUUCAACAUUACGAAAUUCGCCAACCUAUAAAAUCCUUAACAAUCUCCCCCUUUGGCGAUUUCGUGACAAAAUAUACUACAAUGCUCGAACACAACUCAGAAAUAAUAAAAAGAAAAUCAUCGCAAUCACCAAACGAUAAUCUCCUGCAUGAUCGAUCCAAUAAACGAAAGUUACAAUUUUCAAAACCUUAAUACAGACUUUAUGACUUAGACAUGGAGUCUUGAAGUCUUGAAUUAUUCCUGCAAAAACAUUCUUAAAAACGAAAAUCAUCUCCCCCUUUUUGUCAAAAAACGCCAAAAAGACAAACGGAGGAACCCCGCAACAUCUAAUCUGAAGCAUCCCCUGG